ACCAUGUUUAUUAUUAUACGAUAUAAGUAAAUCUUGCAGUCUACUUGAUUUUCGUUCUUUGUUUUAAUUAGUCAUUAUUUAUUAUUUUCAAUUACCUACAACGUAUAGGUACGUAUUAGUAUUACUGUACAUUAGUGCAUCAGUGCUACGCCGUAAUAUAGGUAUGCAUUAUAUUAUUCGUGUGACGUAGGUAUUAUCACCACGUUAAUCGAUACCUACAUUUCCGCUAUGUCCGCUAAUAAUAUACCAAACUAUAUUGGCUUUAUUAACGGUAUUUUAGUUUUGGCUUAUUUUGUUAUAAUUCUUUAAAUGGUUCUUUGCUUUUAUUUUUAUUUUUAAUAACCAAUUUAAUUUUAGUGUAAUUAGUUAACUGUUAUUCUGUUAAAAUAUUACUAUUAUAAUAUAAGUCAGCUAACAGGAUACGAAAGCUGGGUAUCGGAGCUCAUCUCACUUGAAGUAACAAAUUAUCACGACCGAAAAAUAAUAGGCUUAACUUAACCCAUAGCCUAUUUCAAGUUAUCAAGGAUUCAGAAAAUUUGUAUGUCAAUAACCUUCAAAAUUAUAUAGAUAAUUAUUUUUCGGAUUAAAAGUUUUUUUAUUAAAAAUCACAAUUUGAGUUGAUAAAUUAUUUUAUUUUACUUUAAUAAUUGUAUACAUAAAUACCUACUGUAUAUGAAAUAUGAAUAAACUAUAUCGACUGCGGCGUGGUAAGAAAUUAACUCAAUGUCCUUCACAGCUGAUUUAGUUUUUAAUUUUUAACUCUUUAAAUAUUUUAAUUAAUAAGAAUUCAUUAUUUUUUAUGGUAGUUAAUUAUUUUUAAUUCCUAAUUAUUUCAUAAUUUUAUAUCAUACAUAACUAUUUCUUGUAAUUUUAUUGAUAGGCACCUAGUUAGAACAAAGAAGUUAUGCUGAAAUAGUCGAUAUAUGCAUUAAAAAUAGUAUCUUUUAGAUCUACAAAAAAGUAC